CACCUUCCUCCCUGGUCAGACCCGAGAUUGAACCAAAACCAAUAUCCUUGCCAGAACCUCAAGACAUGCGAUCGAAGACUCGAAUUUGGAAGUCGGCGGUCGACCCGAAAAGU
rnacentral:rRNA from 1 species